CCAUUGCUCCUAGGUCUAUUACUACACAUUGAGUGCUAACAAUAAUUCUCUCUUCGCCAUGUACAUCCAUCUAUAUACUCGUGAUCAUCAAUGACCAUGUACUUCUGUAUCCAAUAAUUCCAAUAGGUGUUAAGAAAAGUUUGUUCAAUUAAAUAACAAGGCCAGUUUCAAAGUUGACACCCCUGUGCUGAAAGUUUGCCUGAACUACCCACUUAUUUGCACUUUGCUUCCA
rnacentral:lncRNA from 1 species